AGUCGAACGGAAGUCGUUGUAAUGAAAUGGAAAUGGACAGAGAACUUGUUCGAAGAAAGUUGAAGUAGACUUACAACAAUGGCUUUAGUGGCGGACUGGUGAGUAACGCGUAAGGAACCUGCCUUUUAGAGGGGAAUAACAAUGAGAAAUCAUUGCUAAUACCGCAUAUGCCGAGAGAAUCACAUGGUACAAUCGGGAAAGGAGCAAUCCGCUAAAAGAUGGCCUUGCGUCUGAUUAGAUAGUUGGUGGGGUAACGGCCUACCAAGUCGACGAUCAGUAGCCGGACUGAGAGGUUGAACGGCCACAUUGGGACUGAGAUACGGCCCAGACUCCUACGGGAGGCAGCAGUCGGGAAUAUUGCGCAAUGGAGGAAACUCUGACGCAGUGACGCCGCGUAUAGGAAGAAGGUUUUCGGAUUGUAAACUAUUGUCGUUAGGGAAGAGAAAGGACAGUACCUAAGGAGGAAGCUCCGGCUAACUACGUGCCAGCAGCCGCGGUAAUACGUAGGGAGCGAGCGUUAUCCGGAAUUAUUGGGUGUAAAGGGUGCGUAGACGGGAAGAUAAGUUAGUUGUGAAAUCCCUCGGCUUAACUGAGGAACUGCAACUAAAACUGUUUUUCUUGAGUGCAGGAGAGGUAAGUGGAAUUCCUAGUGUAGCGGUGAAAUGCGUAGAUAUUAGGAGGAACA
rnacentral:rRNA from 1 species